UCUGCCCUUAGAGAUAUUUCAGCUGUGGCUGCUGUAUCAUGUGUGCAUCAGUAGGUGGCGGAGAGCAGAGAUAUGUGUAUACUCAGGGUGUGACCCAUGGACAUCUGAAUGAUUAAUUAGUAGCCUA